rnacentral:misc_RNA from 1 species
GGAAAAUGCAUUUAGAGUUAGAUUGUGACAAUUUUCCCCUUAGGUAAGCUGGUUGAUGGAGCUAAAAGAUGCAAAUACUUGCAUCCUCGAAAACCAAAUUAAUGAAAAAACUCCUUUUGAUCUUUUAAAAUUCCAAGAAACACCUAGCUGCAGUACCUGUAGAGAUAAAGGAAUUUUGUGGCCAGGCAUUUCUCUUCCAUGAAUUCGUACAUGUGCUUUAAUAAUUGUGUUUUUG